rnacentral:rRNA from 1 species
UACGGGGGGGGCAAGCGUUAUUCGGAUUCACUGGGCGUAAAGGGUGCGCAGGCGGUCGAGUGUGUCAGAUGUGAAAUCCCGAGGCUCAACCUCGGAACUGCGUCUGAAACUACUCGACUAGAGUACUGGAGAGGGUAACGGAAUUCACGGUGUAGCAGUGAAAUGCGUAGAUAAUCGUAAGGAAGACCAGUGGCGAAGGCGGAUCUCUGGACAGUUACUGACACUGAGGCACGAAGGCCAAGGGGAGCAAACGGGG